AGUGAACGCUGGCGGCGUGCCUAAUACAUGCAAGUCGAACGAAGUGGCGCACGGGUGGGUAAUAUAUAGCUAAUCUACCCUACAAAGAGGAACAACAGUUGGAAAAGGCUGUUAAUACUUCAUAGUGUAGGAGGAGAUUAUAUCGUAUCAGCUAGUUGGUAAGGUAAUGGCUGACCAAGUGUAUGACGCGUAACAGGUCGGAGAGGAUGAUGAGUCACAUUGGAACGGAGACACGGUCCAGAAUCAUUCGGGAAGGAGCAGUAAGGAAUAUUGCGCAAUGGGGGAGACCGAGGCGCAGCAACGCCGCGUGGAGGAUGACACUUUUCGGAGAGUAAACUCCUGUUAUCAGGAAAGCGGUACCUGAUGAAUAAGCACCGGCUAACUCCGUGCCAGCAGCCGCGGUAAUUC
rnacentral:rRNA from 1 species